rnacentral:sRNA from 1 species
GAAGAAGAGGAGGAUGAUGACUGGGGAGAAGAUACAACUGAGGAAGCUCAAAGGCGUCGAAUGGAUGAAAUCAGUGACCAUGCAAAAGUCCUGACACUCAGUGAUGAUUUGGAAAGAACAAUUGAGGAGAGGGUCAAUAUCCUCUUUGAUUUUGUUAAGAAAAAGAAAGAAGAGGGUGUUAUUGAUUCAUCUGACAAAGAAAUCGUUGCUGAAGCAGAAAGACUGGAUGUAAAAGCCAUGGGCCCUCUUGUUCUAACUGAAGUUCUUUUUAAUGAGAAGAUUAGAGAACAGAUUAAGAAAUACAGGCGCCAUUUCCUACGAGUAAGCAAAGUGCUCUGGAUUCAUAAAUGAGACUACAGCUGUGUGGCUUUCGAGAUGGUCAUUUUAACCACUCUUGCUUGUCCUGUCAUGCUUGAAAGUGGGGAAAUUGACCCACCUUACAAGCCUCUGAGUAUCUGAAAGUGCCGUACCUAGGCCCUUACAAAGUAAUAGGGAUGUUUAUGCAUUGACCUUUUUGAACCACUAUGGUAUGGACCAUGCACUUGCAGACACUCUUAUUUGGGUAAUAGAGUUGUCAACUUAGAACACAUAAAAAAGCUUGUUAACACCAAGGUGUCUAUUUGCAGUUUUGUCACAACAACAAAAAAGCUCAACGGUACCUUCUUCAUGGUUUGGAGUGUGUGGUAGCAAUGCAUCAAGCUCAGCUUAUCUCCAAGAUUCCACAUAUCUUGAAGGAGAUGUACGAUGCAGACCUUUUAGAAGAAGAGGUCAUCAUCAGCUGGUCAGAAAAGGCCUCUAAGAAAUAUGUCUCCAAAGAACUUGCCAAAGAGAUUCGUGUCAAAGCAGAACCAUUUAUAAAAUGGUUGAAGGAGGCAGAGGAAGAAUCUUCUGGUGGCGAAGAAGAAGAUGAAGAUGAGAACAUUGAG